CCCGUGAAACGAAUCAUUCGUACAUUCAGUUUUUCAAAAAAACUCGAACAAAACGGUCGAAAGGCUCGGGCUGCGGACGAUUUGGAAAUCAGCUCGAACGAUUCGGUCUGUCGCGAGAAAAACUGAAAAGCCGGCAAAACUGAUGUGUUGUGAUUGAGAAAAACGGUAGCCAAACGAGCCGUUUAAUGGGCAAACAAGCUGGCCAAUAACCAAUAACCAUUUACCAUCAAGCAAAGCAGGAAUCGUGAUAACAAAGCGGAGACGAAACCGGCAGCAAUUUGUUAAUUUUAAACGUCGUGUGUGUUCCUCUCCUGGCAGCAGCAACAAAAAUACAAGCGAAAAGCAUUUAAAUUGCAUUUUUAGGACCCUUGAUAUUUUAGUGGAGGAGACAGCAAGGUCGUCGGGGUCAAACGAUGCAAGUGACAAAAUCAAAAUUGGAGUAAACAGGGUAAAAGUUUGAAGAACAAAAAGGAGACACGGAUUAUUAUUUUUUUGUAUGUAAUUUUGAGCAUCUUCGCGUCGCGUAACGGUAAAUCUUCUGCGUUCUGUUUCUGUGUGCGUUCGUGUUUGAGUGUGCGUUUCUCGGUUUUGUUUUCGUCUCCUCCUCGCCGUCCUCCUUACACCUUCAACUGCCAUCUCUCCUAAUUUCUUCUACGAAAAAAAGGAGAGCGAAGACCAAAAAUUUUGAAGACCAACAUAUUGAUGAUUUAAUUUUUACAACCUGAAAAAUUUUGUAUAAAUACCGCACACUGGGGCUCAAAAUGACAUGCUGUUAAUAACAAUCAAGAAGCAAUGCGGAGCAGCGACGGCGGUGCCAACAAAAAUGUGAGGA